CAAGUUGUUGUCCGGCAACAGCACUUCUGCAAUUUAUUGUUAAAUGUGCACUCGUAUAGGAAAUGAGGGUCUCGCUUCCGAGUUUUAGCAGGUUGCAAAAUGUUGGCAAGUCUUGCAUCUGCUCCGGCUUCAGAGUUCAUUUCUCAAACAGUAGAGGCCAUUUUUGAAGUUGUUGCUGCUUCCAGGGACGUCCUUGUUAAGAAGGAUACGUUUAAGGAACUUGCAACUUAUUUGGAAAGGAUAGUCCCCAUUUUAAGAGAGUUGAAUAAGAAUACAGUUUCGCAUUCUGAGAGCUUAAACAAUGUUCUGGACAUCCUUAACAGGGAAGUAAGAGCUGCAAAGAAACUGACUAUUGAGUGUAGCAAGAGAAACAAAAUGUAUCUCUUAAUGCAUUGCCGAACAAUAGUUAACCACCUACAGAAUACUAUGAGAGAGAUCAGUCACGCUCUAGCUCUUCUUCCCCUGAACUCUUUAGAACUUUCAUCCGACAUAGUUGAAGAAAUUGGUAAGGUUUGUGACAAUAUGCUUGGAGCUGAGUUCAGGGCAGCUGUAGCAGAAGAAGAGAUUCUGGACAAAAUCGAGUCUGGAAUCCAGGAGAGGAAUAUGGAUCGUUCUUAUGCCAAUAGUUUGUUGGUUCUCAUAGCAGAGGCAGUUGGAAUCUCAACUGAGAGGUCAGCAUUGAAGAAGGAAUUAGAGGAAUUCAGAAGUGAGAUAGAAAAUGCUCGGCUAAGGAAAGACCAGGCAGAAGCUAUACAGAUGGAACAGAUAAUUGCUUUAUUAGAAAGAGCUGAUGCAGCUUCAUCUCCUGAGGAGAAGGAAAGGAAAUAUUUCACUAAGCGAAGAUCAUUGGGCAGUCAACCAUUGGAGCCACUUCAGUCAUUUCAUUGCCCAAUCACUGGGGAUGUUAUGGUGGAGCCUGUGGAAACUUCUUCUGGACAAACAUUUGAGAGAACUGCUAUAGAAAAAUGGUUAGCUGAUGGGAAUAAUUUGUGUCCGCUGACCAGGACUCCUUUAGACACUUCAGUUUUACGGCCCAAUAAAACUCUGAGGCAAUCAAUAGAAGAAUGGAAGGAUAGAAAUACCAUGAUUAUGAUUGCUACAAUGAAAUCAAAACUCAAGUCUGAAGACGAGGAGGAAGUGCUCCAUUGCCUUAAAGAACUACUGGAUCUCUGUAAACAAAGAGACCUGCAUCAGGAAUGGGUCAUAAUGGAGGACUAUAUACCUAUUCUCCUUCAACUUCUUGGUGUAAAAAAACCCGAGAUAAGGAAUCAAGUUCUUGUCAACCUUUUAACUUUGGUGAAGGACAGUGAUGAUGCCAAGGUAAUACUUUGAUUAAUAACGAAAUUGUGCUCGUGUAUAGUGUUCAUAGAAUGUUCAUAUUAUCUGAUAUUAAUGUUGCAGGAAAGAACUGCCAGAGCUGAUAAUGGGAUUGAACUUAUUGUUCGGUCACUUGGGCGCCGUGUCGAGGAAAGAAAAUUAGCAGUGGCAUUGCUAUUGGAAUUGUCAAAGUAUGAUUUGAUAAGAGACAAAAUUGGGAAGGUUCAAGGUUGCAUACUCCUAUUAGUUACCAUGUCCAAUAGUGAUGAUAAUCAAGCUGCCAGAGACGCACGAGAGCUGUUGGACAAUCUGUCAUUCUCAGAGAAAAAUGUUAUACAAAUGGCAAAGGCAAAUUAUUUCAAACAUUUGCUGCAGCGUCUUUCUACAGGACCAGAAGAUGUAAAAGUGGUCAUGGCAUCAAAUUUGGCAGAUAUGGAGUUGACCGACCACAACAAGGAGUCUUUGCUUGAAGGGGGAGUACUGGGUCCACUUCUUGAUAUGGUCUCACAUGGUGACGUUCCUAUGAAAAUGGGGGCUGUCAGAGCUCUUAGAAACCUCUCUAGCUUACCCCAAAAUGGUCUGCAGAUGGUUAGAGCAGGUGCAGAACGCCCAUUGCUUGACCUUCUCUUUGAUCAUAACUCAUCACUGUCAAGCUUUCGUGCUCAUGCAGCAGCCACAAUCAUGCAUCUAGCCAGGUCAGUGGUGUUUCAAGAAUCCAACCAGACACCUGCUACUUUUCUGGAAUCAGAUGAAGAUAUAUUCAGGCUUUUCUAUUUGAUUAACCUAACGGGGCCUGAUGUACAGCACAGCAUCAUUCUCACCUUCCACACUUUGUGUCAAUCCCCGUCUUCUAAAAGCAUCAAGACCAAGUUGAUAGAGUCCUCAGCUGUGCAAGUAUUGACUCAAUUAUUUGAGAAUGAUAACUCCAAUUUACGAGCAAAUGCAGUAAAGCUGUUUUCUUGCUUAAUAGAAGGUCGCAAUGAAGCCAUUAACAUAAGGGAGCAUGUGGGUCAGAAAUGCAUUGAGACUAUAGUCAAGAUUAUCAAAUGUUCCAGUGAUGAAGAAGAGAUUGCUUCUGCAAUGGGUGUUAUCACUAACCUUCCAGAAAUCCCCCAAAUCACACAAUGGUUUGUCGAUGCUGGGGCACUACCUGUCAUAUUCAGUUUCCUCCGGAAUGACAAGCAGAAUGGUCCCCAUAAAAAUCAGGUUAUAGAGAAUGCUGUUGGAGCCAUUUGUCGUUUCACUGUUCCAUCAAACUUGGAAUGGCAACGGAGUGCAGCUGAAGCUGGCAUUAUACCCUUGUUCGUACAGUUGCUGGAUUCCGGAACCUCCUUGACUAAAACACGUGCAGCUUUAUCUCUUUCUCGUUUUUCACAGAGUUCACCCAGGUUGACCAGGCCAUUACCAAAGCGUGGAGGACUCUGGUGCUUCUCACCCCCUCCAGAAUCUGGUUGCCCUGUUCAUGGAGGAAUUUGUGGCAUUAUUUCGUCAUUUUGCCUUGUGGAGGCUGAUGCAGUGAGACCAUUAGUCCGGAUGCUUGGGGAACCUGAUCCUGAAGCUUGUGAGGCUUCUUUAGAUGCUUUAGUAACUUUGAUUGAAGGUGAGAGACUGCAGAAUGGUAGUAAGGUGCUCACAGAUGCAGAUGCCAUACCUCCUAUAAUAAACUUUCUUGUUCAGCCCUCCCCUAGUUUGCAGGAGAAGGCUCUACAUGCUCUAGAGAGAAUGUUCCGGCUGCUGGAGUUUAAACAGAAGUUUGGACCCUCAGCUCAGAUGCCUUUAGUUGACUUAACUCAGCGUGGAACUGGUGGUAUGAAAUCUAUGGCAGCCAGAAUACUUGCUCACUUGAACGUGCUUCAUGAUCAGUCUUCUUAUUUCUAAAGGGAUCCUUUCUAAAGGCCUUCUUGGUUCACCUGCAUGUGUUCAGUGAUAUAAAGAUCAAGCAUAAACUCACUUUGAUGCUUCAACUUGACUAAUAUUGACAAGAGAACUCGCGGGGGAAAACUAGACAUGGCAGCCCUUCACUGCUCUAUGAGCUUGAAAGUAUCCGGUUUUCCUGACAUUAAUCUGAGGACGAAGUUCACUUUGUCUUGGCAUGGAUUUGCAGCUUCAAGUACCACAGUUAACAAUUGAAGUUCUACUGGUCUUAGACAGAAAUUGAGCUGUAUGACGAGUAGGAUUCCAAUGGAGCUUGAUUGUGGCACAAGACGUUCAUUUCUGACGGUAUAUUUGAAGCGAUUUGCUUGUUGGUGAAAGCAGAAGAAUAAUCAAUGUAAACCACCUCUGUUGAACUCGGGUAAGGAAGUUGAGGUCAUAUUUUUUUUGACAUCACUAAAUUCUUUUUCACUAUUAGGUGUGAAUUCUUUCUUGUGUAUAUGUAGGAAAAGCAGUUUAAAGAACCUAAUAUUGUGUCAUCCAAAUUUCAUUCAUAUUAUUACAUGGUCUAUGCAAUUUACGCCCAUGUUUCAUUGAAGCAGCUCCUGGAAACCUUGUCUUGCUCCUGAUCCUUGGUAAAGUGUGCUAGCAAAAGAUUCAAUGUGUAUGUAUGUAAUGCAUGUGUAUAAACAUCUUUUUGGUUAAUGUGCACGUUCUUUGUAUGUAUGUAGAUUUGUUUGAAACAAUACUUCUAUAUGGUAUAGAAAAUCACUGGUUAGUGUGC